UAUUGGACCAGGAGAAUGGAUUGAUAGAGAAUAUGCUACUGCUCAAAUUUUUGCAAUUGUAAGUCAAUACUUUUCUAUAAUAAAGUUCAGUUCUACAGCAGUGAUAGCUGUGUGGAGUUCAGUUCCUGGAGCUAGUCAUUAUACUGUCUAUUAUGAGUCAACCAGUAG